rnacentral:rRNA from 1 species
CGAAGUGGCAGCGUUUCCGGAUUUUGGGCGUAAAGCGCGCGCAGGCGGUUUCUUAAGUCUGAUGUGAAAGCCCACGGCUCAACCGUGGAGGGUCAUUGGAAACUGGGGAACUUGAGUGCAGAAGAGAAAAGCGGAAUUCCACGUGUAGCGGUGAAAUGCGUAGAGAUGUGGAGGAACACCAGUGGCGAAGGCGGCUUUUUGGUCUGUAACUGACGCUGAGGCGCGAAAGCGUGGGGAGCAAACAGGAUUAGAUACCCUGGUAGUCCACGCCGUAAACGAUGAGUGCUAAGUGUUAGAGGGUUUCCGCCCUUUAGUGCUGCAGCUAACGCAUUAAGCACUCCGCCUGGGGAGUACGGUCGCAAGACUGAAA